rnacentral:lncRNA from 1 species
ACAAAUUGCUUGACGACUUCUUUUUGCGAAGGCCGUCGGUGGAUAGACUUGUCCAAGGAGCUGAAUAGCUCAAGAUUGUAUGCGCAAGCUUGCUUCUGUGCAAGUUGCUGCUAUCUAACGAGUUGAAUAACCCGAAAGAUAAGUGUGCAGACUUCUAAAUAUAAGUUGCGAGUGGGUAGAGACUAGUAUUUUGUGAUAAAAAAAUAACUCUGCUUUAUUUAAAUUGUAACUAUACAACUGUGGCCGAUGGC